rnacentral:lncRNA from 1 species
CAAAAGAGAAGAGGAGGGAAAGCUUUGGCUCCUGAAGAAUGUUCUGUUUCUCUCCUAGUCAGAAUCAUUUCAGGCUCUAUAGCCCAUCUCUGAUUCUUCACACCUUCCGUGGUCUACGUAAGCUGUCAUUGCUAUCCAUAAUUUCCUUUGUGACACUGAAGGCAUGCAAAACAUAUCUCAUACUGAGUCAGUGUGCCUACAAACCAAGGAGUCAUCACCUUGAGAUGGAAGGACCUCUAGAAAUCUCAAAGGAAGUACCUAAAGCAGGGGAAGAGAGGAAGACAUUGAUGGUGUUAGGGUUGUCAUCAAGAACUAAGGUGGGGGCCUGGUCAGCAGCAAAGGUGGCACAACUCUCCAAAACAGUAGUUGGGCAUAUCCCACUUCGGGGCAACAUUGUUCUAACCUUGGGCCAACUCCUCUAAAUCAGAAUCUAUGAGCUCAGCUAUAGGUCAGAGAGAACCGACAGUGAAAGGUGCAUGAAAAUACAUGAGGCCCUCUCCUGCUGCCACAGAAUUUAAAAACUUUCUUUGACCAGAUAGACAACCCUUGGGAAAGCAAGGAGGAGAAGGAAAAGACUAUCCAUUUCCGUUGUAAUGCACCCCUGUCUUUAUCUAGCAUUCAAUCAAUAAAGACAACUGAAUUGACAAGAAAGUUUUAAAAACAGUUUCUACUGAAUAAAAUAGAAGCCUCAUAUGGGGAACAUAGUGAGAGUUUGUAUCUACAAAAAGUCAGAAAAAUUAACUGGGUUUGGUGGCACAUGCCUGUAAUCCCAGCUACUUGAGAGACUGAGGUGAGGGAAGCACUUGAGCUGUAAUCAUACCACUGCACUCCAGCCUGGGAAACAGAGUGAGACGUCCAUCAAGCAAAUAGAAAGAAACAUCAGAACAUGAUAAAAUCAGCUAAAAAGAAGUAAUAGGUAUGUAUGUGUGUGUGUAUAGAGAGUGCCAUGUAUCUGAAUUAUAGCAUGUAUAUGUAGAUUCUACUACAUAUUUAAGUCUACUCUACUAAUUUGGACUUAGCAUGUGUUCUGUAAUUUUUUUUCCACUUAUCCUCUCAAAUAGAUUUACAAUCUUGGAAAAUACUAUAUUUUACUUCUUGG